rnacentral:lncRNA from 1 species
GGUCUUUAUGGUAUAACUGAUAUGUGAAAAACGGCACAUAUUUAAUCUGUGCAGUUUGAUGAGUUUGGACAAAGGCACACUCCUGUGAAACCAUGACCACAAUCAGGGGUCCCAGUCGAGAACUUGCAAGGACAGAGAUGAGGCAGAGGAGGAGGAGCAGGGUCUUCACAGCUGCUUCCCCGAUGGCCACCAGAACCACCUCCAGCCCGGGCCCUGAUCUCCCUGCGGGAAAGUGGGAUGAGGAUGGACCCACCUGCUCCACGGCUAUCCCUGUCCUUCCAAUCCCAGCAGGACUCUGGAUGUUGGUUCUCCAGCCCCUCCUCCAUCACGGGAUGUGGGACCACCUGUGCCUGGACCUCACCUGACCCCAAGUCCUGACUGUCCAGCAGUUGAUCAGAGAAAAGUUGCAUAAAUUGGACUCCAUUCAAAG